rnacentral:lncRNA from 1 species
GUUAUAGAAUUCAGUUGCUAAACCACACAUGAUGACCAAGUUGUGUUACACUUUUUAAAAUUGAGUUCACGUUCUGGCCCUCAGCAUCGAAGUUGGUGAAGAGUCCAAACUGGUCAUUUUUGAGAGGACACACGCGUGUACCACCACUAUCCCCAGCCAGGGUCACUGUAUAUGCAGUGACAACCACGGGGGGAGUUAGUCCAGGCUGGGGCCCUUUCUGGAGUUGUAAAGUGACGCCCUCCACGCCCAGUUAGUUAUGCAAGAACC